AUUGAACGCUGGCGGCAUGCCUUACACAUGCAAGUCGAACGGUAACAGGUCUUCGGAUGCUGACGAGUGGCGAACGGGUGAGUAAUACAUCGGAACGUGCCCGAUCGUGGGGGAUAACGCAGCGAAAGCUGUGCUAAUACCGCAUACGAUCUACGGAUGAAAGCGGGGGAUCGCAAGACCUCGCGCGGACGGAGCGGCCGAUGGCAGAUUAGGUAGUUGGUGGGAUAAAAGCUUACCAAGCCGACGAUCUGUAGCUGGUCUGAGAGGACGACCAGCCACACUGGGACUGAGACACGGCCCAGACUCCUACGGGAGGCAGCAGUGGGGAAUUUUGGACAAUGGGGGAAACCCUGAUCCAGCCAUGCCGCGUGCAGGAUGAAGGCCUUCGGGUUGUAAACUGCUUUUGUACGGAACGAAAAGGUCCUUUCUAAUAAAGAGGGCUCAUGACGGUACCGUAAGAAUAAGCACCGGCUAACCUACGUG
rnacentral:rRNA from 1 species